rnacentral:rRNA from 1 species
UACGUAGGUGGCGAGCGUUGUCCGGAUUUACUGGGCGUAAAGGGCUUGUAGGUGGUUCGUUAAGUCUGGUGUGAAAUCUCCCGGCUCAACUGGGAGAGGUCAUUGGAAACUGGCGGACUAGAGACGGGUAGAGGAAAGCAGAAUUCCCGGUGUAGCGGUGAAAUGCGUAGAUAUCGGGAGGAAUACCAGUGGCGAAGGCGGCUUUCUGGGCCUGUUCUGACGCUGAGGAGCGAAAGCGUGGGGAGCAAACCGG